rfam:Lutzomyia longipalpis Contig19626, whole genome shotgun sequence.
AUAAAUUUAUAAUGAUGAUUCAUAGUUCAGUUGAUAUUCAAUGAUAACAACACACUUUACGUCUUUCGCUCCUAACUGAAAAUUCCA